UACGUAGGGGGCGAGCGUUAUUCGGAAUUAUUGGGCGUAAAGCGCGUGUAGGCGGUCCGCUAAGUCGGAUGUGAAAGUCCAGGGCUCAACCCUGGGAUGGCGGUCGAUACUGGCGGACUAGAGUCCGGAAGGGGCUACUGGAAUUCCCGGUGUAGCGGUGAAAUGCGUAGAUAUCGAGAGGAACACCUGCGGCGAAGGCGGGUAGCUGGGCCGACACUGACGCUGAUGCGCGAAAGCCAGGGGAGCGAACGGG
rnacentral:rRNA from 1 species